UCCAGAUCAAGUCAUGACACUCACUGCCCAGGGUUUAUUUAGCUAAGUAAUAUCUUAUGGUGAAAAUGUCCCAGCAAGAAGUGGAAGCAUCAUGAAGCGGCUAGCAGGCACUGUGCUGGGGCUUCUGUUGGCCCAGGUUUGCUGUGUGAAAGGAGUGGAUGUGGAGCAGCGUCCCCCAGCCCUGAGUCUCCAGGAGGGAGUCAGCUCCACACUCUGGUGCAAUUUUUCCACCACUGUGACCAACGUGCAGUGGUAUCGUCAGUACCGAAAUGGCAGCCUGGUCCACUUGUUCUUCAUUCCUUCAGGGACCAAGCAGAAUGGAAGAUUAAAUGCCACGACAGUCACUACAGAACGCCGCAGCUCAUUGCACAUUUCCUCUGCGCAGAUCACAGACUCAGCCACGUACCUCUGUGCUGGGGAGCACAGCGCUCCCCAGGCACCUGCAGCCUGUACAGGAACACUCCGCGGGGCUCAGCCCCUCCUCCAGCCACAGUCCCACCACAGGGCGUUCACAUUUCUCAUUAUUCCUCACCUACACUGGUACCCUUUUAACUACAAGCACUUUUUGGCCCUACAGAUUUGGGACUUUGGUCUUUUACUCCCUUCCCAAUCUGUAUCUCCUUCUGCUCUAGAAACUUCUAACUUGAAUCUGAUAAAAAUACAGAAGUAAAGCGAGUAUUUAACCACGGUGUACAGAACUACAAAAUCGUAA